GUGAAGAUCGAUCCUACUAUUUUAAGGAGAGACAAAGAUCUUUGCAAAAUGGACAAAUCAUUUCAGGAUAUGAUUCUUAAGUAUAAAAAAAGCAAAGGCAGGUAGAUUGGUGCAUUCAAUUUGAAAGUAGCCCUACCAUAGUCCAAGUUCGAACUUGGACUUUUCCUAUUUGACUUUAGUUUGUCGUUGCGAGACGUGUUGGUCGAUAAUGUAAUGGGACAGUUGGAGCGGUGGUACUUCAGAAGCCUUAGACCUGAAGCUGAGGUGGACAUGAAGAUUAUUGAUGCCUUUGGGUGUGUAUUAAGAUAUAGAGACAACCCUGAUGGUGUAAUGGAUGACGAUGCUCAAACUUUGAUUUUCCCAACCUAUUGGCCCGGCCUG